rnacentral:rRNA from 1 species
CGUGCAGGCGGUUUGGUAAGUUGGAUGUGAAAGCUCCUGGCUCAACUAGGAGAUGUCGUUCAAAACUGCCAGACUAGAGGACGGUAGAGGAAGGUAGAAUUCCCGGUGUAGUGGUGAAAUGCGUAGAUAUCGGGAGGAAUACCAGUGGCGAAGGCGGCCUUCUGGGCCGUUCCUGACGCUAAGACGCGAAAGCAUGGGUAGCGAACG